rnacentral:misc_RNA from 1 species
UCAUUUCUGGGAGCAAAAAUGGUAAUAUUAUGGUUGCCGACAGCUUCCUCAAGAGUCUGAAGAAGAAGAGCCUUUUCAACGAGUUCAGCCAACUCUGUAUAAUGCGAGUCAAGAAGCGCGACAAGAACAGAAUUAGAGUUGAUACCAGAACUAUUAGACGAAGAAGAAGAAGAAAGCUUAGAAGAUGGGUUUUGAGGCAAUGCAGAGACGGUCAGGAAUAGGAGAAAAUAGCAGAGAAAAGGGAAGAUCUUGGAGACACCAUAGACAUGAGGAUCCAUGGCGCUCAAAGAAAGAAAAAGAUGAGAACUUUAGGAAUUGGGCUUGAAGGGAUUUGCGGAGAGUGAUGAGCUAAUGUGGAGGGAAGGAUUGAGAGGGAGAGGGUGAGAUAUUGCAAUUUUGGGUUUUGCUUAGAGAGGAAAAAAGUGAAACAGAAAGAAG